AUUGAACGCUGGCGGCAUGCCUUACACAUGCAAGUCGAACGGCAGCGGGCCUUCGGGUGCCGGCGAGUGGCGAACGGUGAGUAAUGCAUCGGAACGUGCCAUUGAGUGGGGGAUAACGUAGCGAAAGUUACGCUAAUACCGCAUAUUCUGUGAGCAGGAAAGCAGGGGACCGCAAGGCCUUGCGCUCUUUGAGCGGCCGAUGUCAGAUUAGCUAGUUGGUGAGGUAAAGGCUUACCAAGGCGACGAUCUGUAGCGGGUCUGAGAGGAUGAUCCGCCACACUGGAACUGAGACACGGUCCAGACUCCUACGGGAGGCAGCAGUGGGGAAUUUUGGGACAAUGGGCGCAAGCCUGAUCCAGCCAUGCCGCGUGAGUGAAGAAGGCCU
rnacentral:rRNA from 1 species